rnacentral:ncRNA from 1 species
UAUAUUGCUAUGAUAAGGAGUAGUAGUAUUUGAUUCAAUUUUAGAGAGCUGUCGGUUGGUGCAAGACAGUAUUGAUAAAAUAUGAACUUGCCUUGGAGCUUGUCUGCAAAAACAGACACGGAUUAAACCGUUAUUUUUUAGAGUGAAGCUUUAUGCUUAAUUAGAGUGGUACCGCGGAAUUACAACUUUCGUCUCUUAA